GAUGAACGCUGGCGGCGUGCCUAAUACAUGCAAGUCGAGCGAACAGACGAGGAGCUUGCUCCUCUGACGUUAGCGGCGGACGGGUGAGUAACACGUGGAUAACCUACCUAUAGGACUGGGAUAACUUCGGGAAACCGGAGCUAAUACCGGAUAAUAUAUUGAACCGCAUGGUUCAAUAGUGAAAGACGGUUUUGCUGUCACUUAUAGAUGGAUCCGCGCCGCAUUAGCUAGUUGGUAAGGUAACAGCUUACCAAGGCAACGAUGCGUAGCCGACCUGAGAGGGUGAUCGGCCACACUGGAACUGAGACACGGUCCAGACUCCUACGGGAGGCAGCAGUAGGGAAUCUUCCGCAAUGGGCGAAAGCCGGACGGGGCAACGCCGCGUGAGUGAUGAAGGUCUUCGGAUCGUAAAACUCUGUAUUAGGGAAGAACAAAUGUGUAAGUAACUAUGCACGUCUUGACGGUACCUAAUCAGAAAGCCACGGCUAACUACGUG
rnacentral:rRNA from 1 species